CUAUGUUUUCAUUCCUAAUUUUGCAGUAAUUUUAUAUCUUACGUGAAAUGUGCUAUCAACACUCUUGAAAAUGUCUGUGAGGAUGAAAAAACGAGGUUUAAAGAAUUAAUCAAUGAAAGAUGGGCGCUUUUUUGCGACAAAGACAAACCAUCCGACUGGCUGAAGACAAUUUUACAGAACCAGUACAGCUACAGCAAUGAUUGUGACCGUGUGUUUGAUAAUGCGUUCUUUGCUUGUGCACGAUGAGUAAAAUGGACAGGUGAUCCAAAUGCAGCUUCACUGACGGAUAUUUCUGAGGCGUACAGAAAACUUUAUUCAGGACAGUUCGAAUGUACCUCUAGUGAAAUAUCAAACCAAAUGGAUGAUAUGGCACAAUGUAGAUCUUCGAGGCAGAAUAUCUUACUUACUGGCUGGCUUAAAUUAUCCGCUCUAAGCAGUCUUGCAACUCAUAUCAACGAAGAUGAAGUUGAACAAUUGAAAGUGAUGUAAUACAAGUAAGAAGAUGAAUAAGUCCAUCUUCCAUCUUCAGCAUUUCUACUGAAGUACCAUCAUAAACCUUGUUUUGGACAGUCGAAUCACUUCACAUCAAAUUGCCAAAUAUUUCAGCGAUUAUAUCUGUCAUCCAUUUAAAGAUAAU